rnacentral:miRNA from 1 species
UGCGGAAUACCCGCUUAACUCA